rnacentral:lncRNA from 1 species
UUUCAACUUCUCCAUCAAGAUAUUCCCUCCUGUAUACCUUCCUUUUAGUGUCUUGACACAUGGUUUGCUUUCUUAGGAAGAAUUUUAGAUACACUAAAAAUUUUUUUCAAGACCUAUUUAUUUAUGCUAGCAGUGAAAUAUGGUAUUAAACUUACACAACUUUGCUUUAUUUUAAUGCAGCUACUGAUUGCAUAAAAAAUUAUAGACAUGUAGAAUUCUAGUGCUGGGAGGGUACUUAAUUUUACAGACAUAUUAAUUUAUAUUCAUUGAUCCAUUGUGACAGAGUGAGACUCUGUCUCCAAAAAAAAAAAAAAAAAUCAAAUCAAAACAAAACAAAACAAAAAGCCAUUCUUGCCUGGGGAACAGUCAGCCUUUGUGGGACUAACAAAUUAGUCAUUGUUCUAGGUCGUAGGGAUGAAACUGAACACCACAAAUGAGAUCCCGCUCCCUGUAUAGUUUACUUUUAAAUGAAUAAUAUAGCAAUCCAAGACAAUCCUCACUUUCGGCCAAUAGUUAGUUGUCAAAUGAGGAGAGGUAGCAUGGCUAAGACCCAGUAGACGUAGACCGAGGGUCUGUUAAACACUACCUAGCAGUGACAUGCUUAUUUGAUAAAUCACUUCGCUGUUCUAGAUCUCUGUAUUCUUGUCAGUAAAACGAUCCCUUCUAGAACCUACAACUCUCAGGCUUAGACUUCAAGCUAGACCUUGAAGGAAAAAUACAGUUUAGAUGAUUAGGGAGGAGAGCAUUCCAUUUAGACAGAAACAGGGUGAGCAAAGCUUAAAGGCAGGUAAAUGUUGGGUGUUUUUAGGGGCCCCUAUUAGUUGAAAUGAAAACCUUGCAUAGGAGGCAAAGCAGCAAAUACAAAAGGCAGUUUCUGCAAGUGUUAGAUGUUACACAGCUGAAGUCAUACUUUAUCCUGUGUCUAA